rnacentral:lncRNA from 1 species
AUGCCCCAUCCCCAUUGGCGCUCGGUCGCCCAGCUCCCUGUUCCUCCCACUCGCCCAACUCGGAUCUCGAUUUCCUGCUCGGCUCGUCCUUGGCGCUCGACUCCCUGUUUCAGUCUGUUUUUGUCAUCGCGUCGUCGUGUUCGCCGGUAGCCGCCCCGUGGUGCUUGUCUCCGGUGCUCGCUUCGGUCGCGGACGCUAUCGAGCCCGUCGUUCUCCUUGUCCAGUGCUCGUGUGGUUUUCUGCUCGCCAGCGUGCCCUCUCGGCUCGCUCGGCCUUAAUCCCCAUCGCGUUGUCGACCUGGCCGAUUGUCGUCGUUAAUAUGGAGAGAUUCCAAGAAUUGCGGAUGGAAGAGAAAGUAAAGCUCCAGUCUAUACUCAUCAGUUGUCUGACCGAAGACUUCAAUCGAAGACUGUCGCCGUUCUCGCAAAUAUUGAAUGAAGUUAAUAACGGUGAGCCAAAUCACUAUUUUUACUAUAGAUUUUAUGAUCGUGAAAUAAGACGCUUGGUUUGAGUAUGAAGUUUAAGUUAGAAAUACCCGGGAUGCGAGGUGUGCUUUGAGGAGUUUAGUUGCCGAGUAUAUUCGAACUAGUUCUAUUUUGCAGAGUGUAGUAUUUUGAUGAAUGCGAUGUGAUUACUUUCGUAAUUUUAGAAUAGUCGCGUUGGGUAGAUUUGAGAUGUUAAUUAUGUUUAAAAGUGUAUGAUUUGUUGUUCGUAAUGUUUGCGUUAGGUUCGUAUAAUUUAGAGAAGCGUAAUUGUUACGCGUAGUCGUUCGUCGAUAACUAGUGUGUCCGUAUGAACUUGUACAACGCCUCGUCACUAGGUGUUUAAUUCGCUAUCGCGUAACACUAUUUAGGUGUGUAAUAUUCUUGUCGAUAUGCAUUCAUGUGCAUAAUGCAUUCCAUUCAGGUACGUUAAUUAGUCGCGUGAUGCGGAAGAUGACUCAAGUCGACCCCAAGCGUGGGCUACUCCGCAUGGUGAUGCUGAUGAACGAACCUGCCUGAUCAAGUGCUAGGACAAGGAUGAUCGUCAAGUGGACAUCGUCUAACAAACACUAACCUAGUGUUACCCAGGCAAGCCCCGGUGCAUGCAACCCCUUUCCUUGUGUUUUUAAAUACUUUUUGCACACUUAAGUCUAGUGAAAUGUGCAUUAGGUUCAUAGGAGUUACUUGAAACCCUUUGAUGCAUUGCUUUCCUUGAUAUCCAUACCUUUAUAGAUACUUCUGUGAAGUAUCAAAAUUAUGAUUUACAAAAAUGCUUAGCCUUGCUUAGAUCUUGUGGAUAGAGGUUGUCCUCAAUUUAACCAUGGAGAGGAUGGCUUCUACCUGCAAGAAUAUUUUCAUUUGGAGCAAUAGUGGGAUCUUACUGCAAAGUUCCCUGUGAUGCUCUUUCAUCCUAAGGAACAGACACAAUCCUAAGGAUGGAAAUACUUAAAUUGAGACUUGGGUUAGGAACAGGUGAUGUUCUACCCAGGUUGGUUAAGGAUUAACGCGUAUGUAGGCGUGCUGACCGAGGACCCUUUAACUGGUCACAUGCCUCGUCAUGGGUAAGCCUUGCCUCGGGCAGACUAAGGCCGGAAUAAGAUAACACGAAAUGGGCGUGGAGCGGUGGCGAGAGUAGCGUGUACCCUCCGUGGCAAGAGGCUGGACGGUGGUGUAUCUGUGCUCUCGGUUUGCGUGAACCUGAUCCGGUCUUAAGAACCCCGGUGGCGGGUUGACAUAUGCAAGGGUUAAGUGCUACAUAUGUCGUGUGAUUGGAGAUCCUCAGCUGAGUAUAAUCGAUUCGGAUCGCCGUACCUUCGCGGUUAUGAAGACUUGGUCACUUUUCUACAACCUAAAGUCAGGAUGUGAACAUUAUGAAUAAAAAUGAUGUUGUAUUGAUGAGAUGUUGAAAUUAGACUAGAUGCAAAUAGAGUCUAUUAAUACUUAAUAUGGCGUUAAAAGAUUGAAAGUAAGGACUCACUUUAGUAAGCUACUUCUGCAAAAAUAUAAGUUGAUUUUUGCUAAAGCCUCUCCUUGACUCCUAUUUAUCCAGCAUACCCUUGAGAGUCUUUUCCUUAGUCGGGUAAGACUUGCUGAGUAAUUCCAUACUCAGGGUUUUAUUCCCUGUUGUUUUUCAGGUUCUAACCUUGUGCUGUUGUGAUGGUGUUAAGUGCCGGUGGCCGGUGGGCUCGGCCUUCUUAUAUAAGUAUACCCCGUUUUAUCUUCUUAUUGAGGAUGAUCACUUGAGCUAGCAUAUAUUUCAAACUUAUACUUUUGUAAUCACUCCGAUAAAAUAAUGUAAAAUUUUUGUAACCUGUAAAAUUUGGUAAUAAGAUUUCCGCUGCAAAAAUGUUGUGUGUGUGAUUUGUGUUACUUAAUCCCGCGGUUCUAGUUGUAAGUGGUUUAUCCUAUGUCCUUGGGGCAAUCGGACGGAUCCUGUUAAGUUAUUUAGUGCACAUGCAUAGCUGUCUGAGGUCUUUGAGACAAGGACAUGUGCAUGUGGGCCCAAUAACUUGGGAGGUUCUGCCACAGCUGGUAUCGGAGCAGGAUUAAGUAUAUACAGUCACAUACAUAUUUUCAAAACAAAAAUUUUGGUUUCGAAAAACCUAUUUUCAACUAAACAUAUUGUUUGGCUUUGAAAAAUAGUUUUGAAAAACUAUAAUGCUAGCGACAUCCUCUGUUAAGCCCUAAACUAAGGACUAUUAGGUGGCUUAGUUGAAAACCAUAACCCAUAACCGGGUGGGUAUUGCAUACAUGUGUAUUGUUAUUUUUAAGGCCAUUCAGUUCUGAAUGGAUCGACGCUCAAGGUAAGGUGAGAUGUGAGAGCAUGACCGAACAAACGUCGGUCUAGGGGAGAGUAUAAAAAGCGCUUGAUUAUAUACAUAUUUUACAUAUGUAUAUAUGAAGGCUGCGAUGUGGAGUAUUUACUUUUCUGGGAAUUCAGUACCCCAUGGAUGUAUGGGUAUACAGAUGUGGGAAUACUGAGAAGUGUAAUGUACUCGUAACGACGCACCUAUGCUCAGGUAAGAAGGUGAGUUACCAUAAUGAGUUGCCCUAUGGUUAAAGUGUGGCAACGGCGCCUAUGCAUGGCUCGACGCUUAAUGAUGAGCUGGCCUCCAUAUAGAAAUAUAUGGAGUAUAAACUGUGAUAAACUGCCAUGUGUGAACUGCAUCAUUGGGAAUUGGGCUGUGAUGGAUUUUCUGCAGGUACACUAACCUCGAAAACGUAUGUGUAGCUGACGACUAGCAAAAUACCGUGAGAAUCAUACGUAUGCCACCGGUAUAGAACGUUAUUGCCAUAUUAUGUUGGCAAAAUCAGUGAGGACGUGUAGGACGAGCAUGCAUCCUUAUUGUUGCAUCAUGUUUGUCACCUAGACAUCCAAAAUGCUUCUCUUAUCUUUAUUCCAAUAACCAUUGAUUGUAGAUAAUGUGGUGAAAUGCUGAAUUAUGAACUUCGAUGAAAUAGGUGUCCUCCAUUCUUUAGGUGACCUCUUAGGGUGCUUUAUGUGCUUGCCCUUGUGCUUGAUGUGUCGAUAGAAGGUUAGUGACCUGUUUGCCUAAAUCUAGAAUUAGGCCAUGUUCUUAGUUGGUGAACCGAGACCCAAAUUUGAAUUUACCAUUAUCCCUCCAUGACCAACCACAAAAAAAUAAAUGCCUAGAUAACUUACUUGUUGGACAUAAAUUGUAUCUAGGCUUAAACCAAGAAUCUCGAGUCAUGUCCCCAUCCUAAACCAUAUCCUUAAUCAGUUGGUUCAAGCUGAUACCCCUAAUUUCAGUUUGCUUCUUCUUGAGGAUCCUACCGUUGUUUUAUCGACCUAACUUAGGAAAGACAUGUCCGACCAUUUUCUUAAAGUGUGAUGCCUUUGGUUACCUCAUGUCUCUCGAAGGCAUACCCACUAAACCUUGUGAUUGUUUUCCCUACGUAUCUAGUCAGAAACUAAUCCUUGACUUAUAAUCCAUUUGAUGGGCAUAGAAAUAUGCUUGGGGCUGAAUUAACAGUCUCCCAUCGUACUCCUUUUAUCAAGUUUAGGUUAUGGCCAUGUCUUGUUCAUUUCCUUGGGCCAUAAUCUAUUUGGCUCUCUACUUGUAACCCUUCAUACAAGUGGAGUAUCUCUUUGUAUAUUAUCACCCUUGACCAGUCUAUUUUUGUUGUGUGAGAUUUCUUAUUGGUUAUGUCUGGUAUUGGCGUUAUGACUAAAAUUGAUGAUGCUGCGCCAAAACCAAGGGCCUCCUAUGGAUGCAUACACAUGGUUGUGCUGCUCGGUACACGCUGGUAUCACAGUUAGUAGUCAUAAUCCAUUAUGAGAUUAUAUUAAUAGGUUAUCUCUACACAAAUUGUUCUUAUCACGUGAGAUCCAUUAUUGGUGCCAGUUUUGUAAUGGUGUCAUGGUUAAGGACUUAUGGUACCGCGGCAAAACUGAGAGCCUCCUGUGAAUGCGCACACAGGAUUGUGCUACUCGUCGGCUGCUGGUAUCAAGGUCUAUGGUCAUGAUCCAUUAUGGAACUACCCUAAUAUGUUAUCUUCCAUAAACUCCUCCCUUGAAACGAUUUCGGUGUUGUUUGUCAAGUGAUCAAGCAACAUCUAUCAUCUCUAUUGGAUCAAAAGGGCAUACCACUUCCAUGUGUGGUCUCUUUUUCCUUGACUUUGGUAGUGACUACACACAUACGCGUUCCCUUUGCAUCCUUUGUGUAAAGGUGAAGCCUUGAAGCUUUUUAGUGCUAGAAAACAGCGGAAUUACUCUUAAAAUGGAGAUUGGAUUUCCCCUGCUGUUAAAAUGCAGGAGUUUGUUCAUUCGCUCUCUUAUUUAAUCCAUGUAUUCCCUAACCAAGUGGAUAUUGCGUCUCGCAUGAAGAAACAGAUGAACAAUCUGACCAAAUGGAUUUCUACCCAAAUGCAUGACCUUUUGCUUGCAAAUUGAACUCUCAACCCUUGGCUUACCGAUGGUACUGAGAGGACUUGCUCAAUGUCAAAAGUGGUUCAACAAGUUGGUUUUGACUAACUUGUAACUGCCCAAUGAACGAAGGCUGAGUUUAGAGAUCGUUUUAUCGAGUUGUCUAAACUCACUUUGGUUCACCUCACCGUAAAGAAAGUACUUACAAGAAUUGAAAUUAAGUCGGCCUGUAACCACCCAAUUAUCGCUCUAGUCAUGCCUCGAUUGCCUCACAUGUGUUUUUCCAACACGUGUGAUUAGUCGGAGUCAGGCUAGUGUGGGAUGAAAUCGGUUCAUCGUGAAGUCAACAUUUGCUGAUAAUCUUCACUGAUGUUUCCUCGAGUCUCCAUUAGCAUCAUUGGACUUGGAUUUUCUGGCUAACACGAGUAACUGUGAUGUUAUUUGACAUUCACACCCGUCUCGUGUGCUACGAACUCACUGUGACCACUUGUUGGUAAACCUCUUUCUGUGUGUUUUACCCAAGAUGGUGCAUCUGAUUCUGUUUGGGUAAGAUCGCGUAAUUGCCACUCGCUCAACAGACUCAGAUAGUACAGUGUCAUCAGAAAGAGUAAACUACACACAUAGAACCUUAUGUGUACCUCUGGCAGAUAUUGUCUCUUUGGUGGACAUUUCUAAAUUAGCCUAAGGCGAUACAUGUUAUGUCCGCUAGAGAAACCACACUUUGAGACACUUGCCUUUGCUCAGAACUGUCUCACGAUUACCGCUGAUAUGGACAUGGGUUAUAUGCUUCUCUACCCUUAGAAGUCUUUCGCUCCGAAUCUCGGGACGAGAUUCUUUUAAGGGGGGAGGGUUGUAACACCCCAGGUGUUUAUAUUCCGCUCGACAACGAGUAUGGAUUUAAGCGCGUAAUAUCAGUGGAGAAAACAGAUGUUAAAUUUUAAACAUCUUCGUCGAUCGUGAUUUUUAUAUUGCAUUGGUGUCGUCUGUCGCGAGUGCGACAUCGUUUUUAUUUCUAUCUAUCCGGGCUCUUCCUAAAUUUUCGUGUUGUUCGGAACAUAUUUGUUCUAAAAAUCGUUGCGUCCGAUAAUUAUUUAAAAUUCAUCGCUCACGCGAAUACGAAUUCGGAAGCCCGACCCACUCUGAUGAUUUUAUCUCCAAAUAAAUUAAUUUGAACUCGGCGACAAAAGUUAAUGCAAAAACAUUAUAUCGGACCGAGAUAACUUGAUCCGAACUGAGUAUUCGUGAAUAAUUUGUUCCACUAUUUACAAUUAUGGAAAUUUGUCUGAUUCCUAUGUAAACAAAAGCGAACUAAAAUCUCAGUCCGGAUCUCGUUUGAUUCGAUUCGUGUGUAUCCCGUCUCAAUUUAAAUCGUUAAAUAUAAAUAACAGAUAUGAAUUCGACGAAAAUAGUUUUCAGUUCGAAACAAACCAGACAAGUGUAAUUAGAACUGAAAGCGAGUAAUUAGUGAUUAAUUUAGUUCGCUGAUUCAUAGAAAGAAAUGUGUAGUCGUAUAGCGUGUCGACCCAGUGUACAUCGCUAAAAAUCAUGAUCCAAAAUAUUUGCAAUUCUCUUUAAAAAAAGAGAGAAGAAAAGAAAAAUAAAAAACAUCUAGGAAAAUAUCCUUUCAGCCACUCCUAUCUUCAUCCGUUGCCGGGAUUUUUCUCAAGGCACUGAGCAAUUCCCGCACGUUUGUCUCUUCCUUUGAUUUUCUUACCGCUUAACAGCUUCCGUUCUUAUCUCCCUGCGGCAUUCAGCCUCCAGUUCGUUCUUGCCGUGGCCGCGUAAGCUUCGUCGGUCACCUGCAAAAAAAUCACAGCAGUCUUAUCUUCCCAGCCGCUCCUCUAUCCCCAGCCGAUGAGCUCGAUCCUCCCUCAUCUCCCUCCUCUCGGCGUCCUGCUCGGCCCUAUCAUAUUCCCUGGCGCCCGCGCGUGAAAUUUCUCGCCCAGCUCCUUUGUUCUCCCUGCUCAUUCUCCAGUGGAGUCUUCUCUGCGCGGCGCGCUUUGCUCGCCCAACGACGCCGUCAGCCGGAUCUCCUCUGCUCUCUCUGCUCGCCCUGGCCCGCCGUGCUCUGCUCGCCACGGCCGCGUGAGCGGCGAGCUCUCUGCCGCGGCUUCCUUUCUCCCUCGGCUCGCCCCGAUGGCGCUCGGCCGAGCUUCUCCAUCUUCCUCGGUCGCCUCUCUCUGCGCGCCGGCUGCCAGCUCGGUGUUCCAGCCCCACGCGCGCUGCCGGAGCUCGCUCCUGCGCAACCAUGGCGUGCACCCCUCUCCUUCCUCCGUGCUCCAUUGCGUCGAGCUCCUCCCAGCCGAGUUCCUCCCCGGCCCCUUGUUUUCCCCAUGGCCGAAGCCUCUUCCAGCUCCAGCGUCGGCUGCUCCUCCCUGGCCAAACCGCGCCCCUGUAGCCGCGGCACUCCCUCUGGUCGCAGGGACGCGCAUGCCCCAUCCCCAUUGGCGCUCGGUCGCCCAGCUCCGUGUUCCUCCCACUCGCCCAACUCGGAUCUCGAUUUCCUGCUCGGCUCGUCCUUGGCGCUCGGCUCCCUGUUUCAGUCUGUUUUUGUCAUCGCGUCGUCGUGUUCGCCGGUAGCCGCCCCGUGGUGCUUGUCUCCGGUGCUCGCUUCGGUCGCGGACGCUAUCGAGCCCGUCGUUCUCCUUGUCCAGUGCUCGCGUGGUUUUCUGCUCGCCAGCGUGCCCUCUCAGCUCGCUCGGCCUUAAUCCCCAUCGCGUUGUCGACCUGGCCGAUUGUCGUCGUUAAUAUGGAGAGAUUCCAAGAAUUGCGGAUGGAAGAGAAAGUAAAGCUCCAUUCUAUACUCAUCAGUUGUCUGACCGAAGAC